AAUCGUCAAUCCUCCACCAUGAGCUUUCCUUUUCCAACUAUUUCCUGUAGAGGUUAAACAACUGAGUGAGUAGUACCAGGAAUGAGGCGUUACUUUCCUUUUCUAAUUAUUUCUCCCGCCUAUAUUACCCGGCUUCAGUUAUUCAUUCCCCUUAUUUUCUACCUUCAAGCCUCUGUCAUAAAUUUCUUCCAAGCUUGAGACUUCUCUUUUGGUAUAAUUUCGUUUCUAAACUAUCGUGUCCCUCUCUUACCCUCGCGUUGUCCUCCUCAACAAACCUGGAAUGUGGAGGAGCUCAUAUGUUUCAGGUUUUGAAUCUUUUUAUCUUCCAGUUUGCUGUCCCUUUUGUUUAUUUAAUUUCUGAAGCCACGGUCUCUGCUCCUACAUUUUUUUGGGAGCAUUUGUUCUGUUGGGUUUUCUGUUUUAUACGGAUUAUCACCGUUUAAUUUCUGAAUAACCUGUUUGGCAGGAUUUUCAGUUUCUUCUCAUGGUGAAUGGUUUAAUUUGAUUUUGAUGACAUCUUUCGGUUGUGCUAUUAAUAAUUGCAAAUGCAGCUCUCUGCGCUUGUUUCAUAGAUUUUAGACAGUAUGUCAUGGAAACAGAGAAGAGAGUUCUUAGGUGAUUUUGGGUCUGAUCACUCGUCUACCAAAUUUUAAGCUUUUUAAGCCUUCUCCCACUUGAGGGGCUUGACCACCUCCCAUGUGAAGUUAGGGUCGUCCCUGCCAAAGUGACCAUAGGCGGCUGUCUUCAUAACCCUGCCAUUGCCUCCUCUCUUGAGGUCCAAGCUUAUGGCAAUCAUCCCAGGCCUGAAAUCAAAGGUCUCCUUGACAAUCUGCGGGAUCUCCUUGUCAGGAAUCUUUCCUGUACCGUAAGAGUCAACAAAGACGGACAAGGGCUCUGGAACACCAAUGGCAUAGGAGACCUGCACAAUACAGCGACGGGCAAGCCCAUUGGCGACAAUGCUCUUGGCAGCCUGCCUGACGAUGUAGGCACCACUCCUGUCCACCUUGGUUGGGUCCUUAGUCCUUACCAGAGAAGGCACCACCACCGUAGGUGUCGAUGAUAAUCUUCCUUCCUGUGAGCCCUGCAUCACAAUGGGUGCCACCAAUAACAAAACGCCCUGAUGGGUUAAGGUGGAAGAUGGUCUUCUCGUCGAGGUACUUCUCUGGGACGACAGGCUUGAUGACAUGCUCCUUAAGGUCAGCGGCAAUCUCGUCGUUGGUGACGGGAUGUUGGCUUGACUUUUUCUUUAAUAGAGGAAGUAGCUUAUAUGUUGGCUUGAAGUAAUGACUCAUUACAGUAGAAUUGCUAAAGAGAAAUCCAUGUAAAGUUAAUUAACUUCAAAUUCAAUUGCAUACUUGGGGUUUUUUGACACCAUGAACAUAACUUGAAACCGCAUUUAUCAGGCUCCGAUUGUACAAUAUUGUCAAACCAGAUGAACUGUUGACAGUCCUAAGUUUGAUACAAUCAUACAUCAACCUGGUCACCGUUAUCAGAGAUCUACACAGUUGCGGAACCUACUGCCAUACUCAGCCGUCUCUCGUCUCUGCAGACUGGUGUUUAUAUAUUGGAUGGCUCUAGGGAAGCAGUAUAAUGAAGAAGAGGAUGGUAAUCCGAGGUUUAAAGAGCUGUUUAAGGAAAUAGGAGAUUUGUUAGGAACUUUUAAUGUAGCGGGCUUCAUACCAUGGCUUGGCUAGAUGAAUUAUGUAAAUGGGUUGGAGAACAGGAUGAAGAAAACUUUGGCAGAGAUGGAUUUUUUUCUUGAUAUUGUGGUCCAACAACACAGAAUUGGACAUUGGAAGGAGGGUGAUCAAGUUAAUGAUGCACAUAUUGACAUGGUAGACUUACUCCUUCAUAUUGAAAACGAAGUGACCUCUGCAACCCCUAUUGGGUACGAUAACAUCAAAGCCAUUAUGUUGGAUGUGUUUGGGGACGGAAUUGAUCCAGUAUACUUCUAGAAUGGACAAUGGCAGAAAUUUUAAAGCAUCCAGAAGUCAUGAAAGAAGUUCAAGAGGAAGUAAAGGGGGUCAGAAGGGGCAAAGCGAUUAUUACUGAAGUUGAUAUAAAAAAGAUGGUUUAUUUGAAUGCAGUGAUUCAAGAGAUACUAAGACUGCAUCCUCCACUCCCGUUAUUGAUCCUGCGUAAAUUGACAGACAAUAUCUUCAAUAUUCAAGGGUUUGUUUUUCCAAUGAACCCGAGAAGUUCAAACCAGAGAGGUUCUUGAAUGAUGUCCCAAUCGAUUUUGAAAUAUUUUCGUUUGGGAUAGGUAGGCGAGGAUACCCAAGAGCUCGAUUUGCUUUGACGAUUGUUGAAAUUGUAAUAGCCAAUCUUUUGGAAUCUCUAGUCAUUUAAA